AAAAAGACAAACCCUAGGUUUCCGUGUUGACUGUCUGUCUUAUAUGAAAUUUUUUUAUAAUUAGUAUUUUUAUUGUUGUUAGAUGAUAAAACAUAAUUAAUACUUUAUGCGUGACUUAUUUUUUUAAUUUUUUUUUAUAUUUUUUUAAAUAAGACGGGCGAUCAAAUAUUGGACACGGAAACCCAGG
rnacentral:pre_miRNA from 1 species